rnacentral:misc_RNA from 1 species
AAUGGCAAUAUCUCAAGUUUAUCGUUUCAAGGAAUUAAGAAAAAUCAUUUUCCAAGGAAAGGGAGUAUGAAAGCAACGAAAUGUCUGGCAACUUUGAAAUAAAUGCUCAAGAAGGAACGACGAAUCCGUCGUGAUUAAAGUUGGCAGGACUUUCAGCCCGAUCUAGGGAAGUCUGAAGUUUGACUCAGACUAUCUUGAGCAGCAGUGACUAGCUUGAAAUUUUAAUCGUGGUAAGUAUCUUAGUAGUUGGUUCGCAGUUACGAGGUGAUUUGAUUAAUUGCGUGCCUAGGGAUUUCCUAGAUGGAUUGAAGAAAGCCUUAAACCAUAUGAACCUAGAACUGGCUAACACGAAAAUUGUCCUGCUUGUUAGUAUCCUGGAUAUAUCAUGGCUAGUAAGGCUCGAAUCUUUUCCUCGUUAACCUAUUUUUACUAACUGUUUGCCAAUGAUAAUGAAAUCAGAGAAACCUGAUUACAAUUUGCCCCAAUCGAGAAGAUAUUCGUAAAGAAAUCCUUCAGAAUAGUCGAGAAAGAAAAUUACGCGAAGUAUUUUUAAAAACAAGACUAUUCAUGGACCAAAAUUAACGACCACCGACAAAAAUUCCUA